AGUUGGUCAGGUAACGGCUGACCAAGGCGACGAUGUCUAGGGGUUCUGAGAGGAAGGUCCCCCACACUGGAACUGAGACACGGUCCAGACUCCUACGGGAGGCAGCAGUGAGGAAUAUUGGACAAUGGUCGGAAGACUGAUCCAGCCAUGCCGCGUGAAGGUUACGGUCCUAUGGAUUUUAAACUUCUUUUAUGCGGGAGCAAUAAGGUGCACGUGUGCAUCGAUGAGAGUACCUCAUGAAUAAGCAUCGGCUAACUCCGUGCCAGCAGCCGCGGUAAUACGGAGGAUGCAAGCGUUAUCCGGAUUUAUUGGGUUUAAAGGGUGCGUAGGCGGAAUUAUAAGUCAGCAGUGAAAUUCACAGGCUCAACCUGUGCCGUGCCGUUGAAACUGUAACUCUAGAAUACGGAUGCUGUGGGAGGAAUGUGUAGUGUAGCGGUGAAAUGCAUAGAUAUUACACAGAACACCGAUUGCGAAGGCAUCUCACAAAGUCGUCAUUGACGCUGAGGCACGAAAGUGUGGGGAUCAAACAGGAUUAGAUACCCUGGUAGUCCACUACUGUAAACGAUGAUAACUCGCUGCCGGCGACACACUGUC
rnacentral:rRNA from 1 species